GACGAACGCUGGCGGCGUGCUUAACACAUGCAAGUCGAACGGUAACGCGGGGCAACCUGGCGACGAGUGGCGAACGGGUGAGUAAUGCAUCGGAACGUGCCCAGUAGUGGGGGAUAGCCCGGCGAAAGCCGGAUUAAUACCGCAUACGACCUAUGGGUGAAAGCGGGGGACCGUAAGGCCUCGCGCUAUUGGAGCGGCCGAUGUCAGAUUAGGUAGUUGAUGGGGUAAAGGCCUACCAAGCCUACGAUCUGUAGCUGGCCUGAGAGGACGACCAGCCACACUGGGACUGAGACACGGCCCAGACUCCUACGGGAGGCAGCAGUGGGGAAUUUUGGACAAUGGGCGCAAGCCUGAUCCAGCCAUGCCGCGUGCGGGAAGAAGGCCUUCGGGUUGUAAACCGCUUUUGUCAGGGAAGAAACGCUCUGGGCUAAUACCCCGGGGUAAUGACGGUACCUGAAGAACAAGCACCGGCUAACUACGUGCCAGCCGCCGCAGUAA
rnacentral:rRNA from 1 species